GAGUUUGAUCUUGGCUCAGAUUGAACGCUGGCGGCAUGCCUUACACAUGCAAGUCGAACGGCAGCACGGGAGCUUGCUCCUGGUGGCGAGUGGCGAACGGGUGAGUAAUGCAUCGGAACGUAUCCUGGAGUGGGGGAUAACGUAGCGAAAGUUACGCUAAUACCGCAUAUUCUGUGAGCAGGAAAGCGGGGGACCUUCGGGCCUCGCGCUCUUGGAGCGGCCGAUGUCGGAUUAGCUAGUUGGUGAGGUAAAGGCUCACCAAGGCGACGAUCCGUAGCAGGUCUGAGAGGAUGAUCUGCCACACUGGAACUGAGACACGGUCCAGACUCCUACGGGAGGCAGCAGUGGGGAAUUUUGGACAAUGGGGGCAACCCUGAUCCAGCCAUGCCGCGUGAGUGAAGAAGGCCUC
rnacentral:rRNA from 3 species